rnacentral:pre_miRNA from 1 species
AUGGGCCUGAUUCAAAGUUCACUGAAGUCAAUGAGAGUCUUUCCUUUGACUUCAGUGGGAUUUGUAUCAGACCCUCUCUAU